rnacentral:rRNA from 1 species
CAUGCAAGUCGAACGGUAACAGGUUAAGCUGACGAGUGGCGAACGGGUGAGUAAUGUAUCGGAACGUGCCCAGUCGUGGGGGAUAACUGCUCGAAAGAGCAGCUAAUACCGCAUACGACCUGAGGGUGAAAGCGGGGGAUCGCAAGACCUCGCGCGAUUGGAGCGGCCGAUAUCAGAUUAGGUAGUUGGUGGGGUAAAGGCUCACCAAGCCAACGAUCUGUAGCUGGUCUGAGAGGACGACCAGCCACACUGGGACUGAGACACGGCCCAGACUCCUACGGGAGGCAGCAGUGGGGAAUUUUGGACAAUGGGCGCAAGCCUGAUCCAGCCAUGCCGCGUGCGGGAAGAAGGCCUUCGGGUUGUAAACCGCUUUUGUCAGGGAAGAAAAGGUUCUGGCUAAUACCUGGGACUCAUGACGGUACCUGAAGAAUAAGCACCGGCUAACUACGUGCCAGCAGCCGCGGUAAUACGUAGGGUGCAAGCGUUAAUCGGAAUUACUGGGCGUAAAGCGUGCGCAGGCGGUUAUGCAAGACAGAGGUGAAAUCCCCGGGCUCAACCUGGGAACUGCCUUUGUGACUGCAUAGCUAGAGUGCGGCAGAGGGGGAUGGAAUUCCGCGUGUAGCAGUGAAAUGCGUAGAUAUGCGG